rnacentral:rRNA from 1 species
GGACGGGGGAGUAACGCGUGAGAAUCUGUCUUCAGGUCGGGGACAACCACUGGAAACGGUGGCUAAUACCGGAUGUGCCGAAAGGUGAAAGGCUUGCUGCCGGAAGAUGAGCUCGCGUCUGAUUAGCUAGUAGGUGUGGUAAGGGCGCACCUAGGCGACGAUCAGUAGCUGGUUGAGAGGACGAUCAGCCACACUGGGACUGAGACACGGCCCAGACUCCUACGGGAGGCAGCAGUGGGGAAUUUUCCGCAAUGGGCGAAAGCCUGACGGAGCAAUACCGCGUGAGGGAGGAAGGCUCUUGGGUUGUAAACCUCUUUUCUCAGGGAAGAAAAAAAUGACGGUACCUGAGGAAUAAGCAUCGGCUAACUCCGUGCCAGCAGCCGCGGUAAUACGGAGGAUGCAAGCGUUAUCCGGAAUGAUUGGGCGUAAAGCGUCCGCAGGUGGCAAUGUAAGUCUGCUGUUAAAGAGCAAGGCUCAACCUUGUAAAAGCAGUGGAAACUACAUAGCUAGAGUACGUUCGGGGCAGAGGGAAUUCCUGGUGUAGCGGUGAAAUCCGUAGAGAUCUGGAAGAACA